AUGGCACAAAACCACCCUCCCCACCACUUAACCACAUAUCGUCCUUCCCUCAAUUAAUGACAUCGCACUACAAUGUUCCUCUCCUCCCCACCACGACAUCACCACAAUGUCCUCCCCCCACCACGACAUCACCACAAUGUCCUCCCACCGCCAUGACACCACCACAAUGUCCACUACCAGUGUCUGACAUAAACAGGCAGUGCAGGUGACACCAAAGGGAAAGAGGAAUGUGAGGGGCGGAGUGUUCCCACCUGCGUCGACACAAUCAUUUACUUAAAAACAGACUCAAGGAGCAAGUAAAACACAAGAGCACAACCCAACUGCUGAAUUUGAAAUCAUGUUACAAAAUCAAAGGCAUUUCCUUAUAUCAACAUUUCCUAGAAAAUGUAAGAAAGAAAGUAUCAUUCACAGAAGUAGGGAAAACUACAAAGGGUAUUAGGAAAUUUGCCAAGAUUACUCAAAGCCAGUGUGUUGGGGGAAAAAAAAAGUUAAAUAGAGGGCAUUUCAUGCUCCUAAAUGUAUGACAUUACAAAGCUGUCAAGUCCCCUCAAAUUGAAUCUAUAGGCUGGGUGCAGUGGCUCAUGCCUAUAAUCCCAGCACUUUGGGAGGCCAAGGAGGGACGAUCGCUUGAACCCAGGAGUUCAGGACCCACCUGGGCAACAUAGUGAGACUCUGUCUGUACCAAAAAUAAAAAAAUUAGCCGGGCAUGGAGGCGCACACUUGUAGUCCCAGACACUCAGGAGGCUGUGGCAGGAGGAUCGCUUGAGCACAGGAGGUGAAGGCUUCAGUGAGCUGACUGCACCACUGCACUCCAGCCCAGGUGACAGAUCUCAUUUUAUAUAUAUAUAUAUAUAUAUAAGCAAACGGAAUCCAGCUCCCCUCCAACACCAACAACAAAAAAAAUUGGUGAGGAGGAUUAAACACCAUGAACAAGUGGGGAUUUAACCCUAGAAAUGCAAGGUUGGCUUAAUAGCUUAAUGAAUUAAUAUGCCAAAUAUCAAUAGAACAAAAGGACAAAACCACAUAAGCAUCUCAUGAGACAGGAAAAAAUGAACACCCCUUCAUGGUCAAAACACUUAGCAAACAGUUUGCUAAGAAAAGAAAAAUCCCUCAACCUGACAUAGGGCAUCUAUGAAAAACCUACAGCUAACAUCACACUUAAAGGUGAAACCCUGGAUGCUUUCUCCCUAAGAUCAGAAACCAGACAAGGAUGUCCGGUCUUGCCACUUCUAUUCAACCCUGUACUGGAGAUUCAAAGUAGGGCCAUAAGGAAGAAACACAAAUAAAAGGUAUACAGAUUGGAAUGGAAG
rnacentral:lncRNA from 1 species